rnacentral:rRNA from 1 species
CCUACGGGCGGCUGCAGUGGGGAAUAUUGGACAAUGGGGGGAACCCUGAUCCAGCCAUGCCGCGUGUGUGAAGAAGGCCCUCGGGUUGUAAAGCACUUUCAGUGAGGAAGAACGCCUGGUGGUUAAUACCCAUCAGGAAAGACAUCACUCACAGAAGAAGCACCGGCUAACUCCGUGCCAGCAGCCGCGGUAAUACGGAGGGUGCGAGCGUUAAUCGGAAUUACUGGGCGUAAAGCGCGCGUAGGUGGCUUGAUAAGCCGGUUGUGAAAGCCCCGGGCUCAACCUGGGAACGGCAUCCGGAACUGUCAAGCUAGAGUGCAGGAGAGGAAGGUAGAAUUCCCGGGGUAGCGGUGAAAUGCGUAGAGAUCGGGAGGAAUACCAGUGGCGAAGGCGGCCUUCUGGACUGACACUGACACUGAGGUGCGAAAGCGUGGGUAGCAAACAGGAUUAGAUACCCGUGUAGUC